rnacentral:rRNA from 1 species
UACGUAGGGUGCAAGCGUUAAUCGGAAUUACUGGGCGUAAAGCGUGCGUAGGCGGUUGCGCAAGACAGGUGUGAAAUCCCCGGGCUUAACCUGGGAAUUGCACUUGUGACUGUGCGGCUGGAGUGCGGCAGAGGGGGAUGGAAUUCCGCGUGUAGCAGUGAAAUGCGUAGAUAUGCGGAGGAACACCGAUGGCGAAGGCAGUCCCCUGGGCCUGCACUGACGCUCAUGCGCGAAAGCGUGGGGAGCAAACAGG